rnacentral:piRNA from 1 species
UGGGUCUCUACUCAGCAUGUGUCUUGCCUC